rnacentral:rRNA from 2 species
UGUUUCGGCAAGGGGGUCAUCCCGACUUACCAACCCGAUGCAAACUGCGAAUACCGGAGAAUGUUAUCACGGGAGACACACGGCGGGUGCUAACGUCCGUCGUGAAGAGGGAAACAACCCAGACCGCCAGCUAAGGUCCCAAAGUCAUGGUUAAGUGGGAAACGAUGUGGGAAGGCCCAGACAGCCAGGAUGUUGGCUUAGAAGCAGCCAUCAUUUAAAGAAAGCGUAAUAGCUCACUGGUCGAGUCGGCCUGCGCGGAAGAUGUAACGGGGCUAAACCAUGCACCGAAGCUGCGGCAGCGACGCUUAUGCGUUGUUGGGUAGGGGAGCGUUCUGUAAGCCUGUGAAGGUGUGCUGUGAGGCAUGCUGGAGGUAUCAGAAGUGCGAAUGCUGACAUAAGUAACGAUAAAGCGGGUGAAAAGCCCGCUCGCCGGAAGACCAAGGGUUCCUGUCCAACGUUAAUCGGGGCAGGGUGAGUCGACCCCUAAGGCGAGGCCGAAAGGCGUAGUCGAUGGGAAACAGGUUAAUAUUCCUGUACUUGGUGUUACUGCGAAGGGGGGACGGAGAAGGCUAUGUUGGCCGGGCGACGGUUGUCCCGGUUUAAGCGUGUAGGCUGGUUUUCCAGGCAAAUCCGGAAAAUCAAGGCUGAGGCGUGAUGACGAGGCACUACGGUGCUGAAGCAACAAAUGCCCUGCUUCCAGGAAAAGCCUCUAAGCAUCAGGUAACAUCAAAUCGUACCCCAAACCGACACAGGUGGUCAGGUAGAGAAUACCAAGGCGCUUGAGAGAACUCGGGUGAAGGAACUAGGCAAAAUGGUGCCGUAACUUCGGGAGAAGGCACGCUGAUAUGUAGGUGAAGUCCCUCGCGGAUGGAGCUGAAAUCAGUCGAAGAUACCAGCUGGCUGCAACUGUUUAUUAAAAACACAGCACUGUGCAAACACGAAAGUGGACGUAUACGGUGUGACGCCUGCCCGGUGC